UACGAAGGGGGCUAGCGUUGCUCGGAAUCACUGGGCGUAAAGCGCACGUAGGCGGAUUGUUAAGUCAGGGGUGAAAUCCUGGAGCUCAACUCCAGAACUGCCCUUGAUACUGGCGGUCUUGAGUCCGGGAGAGGUGAGUGGAACUGCGAGUGUAGAGGUGAAAUUCGUAGAUAUUCGCAAGAACACCAGUGGCGAAGGCGGCUUACUGGUCCGGUUCUGACGCUGAGGCGCGAAAGCGUGGGGAGCAAACAGG
rnacentral:rRNA from 1 species